GACGAACGCUGGCGGCGUGCCUAAUACAUGCAAGUUGAGCGAUGAAGAUUGGUGCUUGCACCAAUUUGAAGAGCAGCGAACGGGUGAGUAACGCGUGGGGAAUCUGCCUUUGAGCGGGGGACAACAUUUGGAAACGAAUGCUAAUACCGCAUAACAACUUUAAACAUAAGUUUUAAGUUUGAAAGAUGCAAUUGCAUCACUCAAAGAUGAUCCCGCGUUGUAUUAGCUAGUUGGUGAGGUAAAGGCUCACCAAGGCGAUGAUACAUAGCCGACCUGAGAGGGAGAUCGGCCAAAAUGGGACUUGGACCCGGGCCAAACUCCUAAGGGAGGCAGGAGUAGGGAAUCUUCGGCAAUGGACGAAAGUCUUACCGAAGAACGCCGCGGGAGUGAAGAAGGUUUUCGGAUCGGAAAACUCUGUUGGGAUGGAAGAACGUUGGUGAGAGUGGAAAGCUCAUCAAGUGACGGUAACUACCCAGAAAGGGACGGCUAACUACGUG
rnacentral:rRNA from 1 species